rnacentral:piRNA from 1 species
GGGAGAAAGUAGACACUAUGACACAAAAU